rnacentral:rRNA from 1 species
GACAGAGGUGCCAAGCGUUAGGCGGAAUCACUGGGCUUAAAGCGUGUGUAGGUGGAUGCCUAAGUGCCUUGUGAAAUCCCACGGCUCAACCGUGGAAUUGCUGGGCAUACUGGGUGUCUUGAGCCAUCCAGGGGUCGCUGGAACAAACGGUGGAGCGGUGAAAUGCGUAGAUAUCGUUUGGAACGCCAAUGGUGAAACAGGCGACUGGGGAUGAGCUGACACUGAGAACACGAAAGCCAGGGGAGCAAACGGG